AGAGAAGUUUUAGCGGUCCGUCAAAUAGUUAAGUAACAUGAGUCUGGGAAUAUGAACAGAACAGUGGUAUGCUCACACAGGCGAUCGAAUUUACUACGGACUCACACCCAAAGAGCCUCAGAGAUGGACCGCGACCGCAUCCUCUCGCCGGUCUGGAGAGUGAUGCGCAGCUUCUCAGGGACGAGGAGCGAGGGUCGGAGCCAGGAGGACCCCCUUGUGUUCAGCCCGCUGCUUCAAAACUUCCGCGCUGUGAUCUUCACUGAACCGAAGCUUGUGGCCAUGGUGCUCCAGCUCGCCCUGUUUCCGAGCCUCCCUCCUGAUCAAGUCUUUAAUCUGGUGCGGAUGAUGAAGGGACACAGUCUCUCGCGCGGGACAGGUUUGGGUGCCCAAGUGCGAUGAGCUCUGUCCAGCUCCGGGGGAGAACUUGAUCACCAAAAACCUCAAAGAGAAGUUGGGAGAAAAGCCGACUAACUCUGGUAGACCCACAAUACGCACGUUCUGUCCCCUAACGUUACUUCUCCUUCCAAACCCGACAGUUUAGACUUCAGCGAAUUGUUAUCUUCUUGCAGUAAAGAGCACAUAGCUUCAAGUUGCUCCAGGCGUCCGCAGAUAGCUUCCUAAUUCGACUCGAGAUCGGUAAUACGUUGUCCCUGUCCCGAGACAGUAGCCUGGAGCUUGUCUAUCUUGGUGUCCAUGCUGGCGAACGAUGACCUGAACUCGGCGGCUCUGUGCUGCUGAAGCAGCGCCGAAAUGGAUGUAGCCGAAAAGCUAACAUUAGCAUCACUGCUAACGCUGUCCGAGGACGUCUCUGACUCUGCACUCUUUGCAUUUUUCGUGGAUCUGGGUAUAAUUCCGAACGCAGUGUUGGUGUUAUCGGCAAUAUAUUCACAGCUAAACGAUGAAAGUAGGGUUUAAACAGGAUAUUCAGAAAAGGCAUUCAGCGACGAAAGGCAUCAUCAUCGCUAUGAUUUGCACGUUCUUCGAAGCCUUCAAUGUGCCGGUGUUCUGGCCCAUCCUCGUCAUGUAUUUCAUCAUGCUCUUCUGCAUCACCAUGAAACGGCAGAUCAAGCACAUGAUCAAGUAUAGAUACCUGCCCUUCACACAUGGGAAGAGGACUUACAGAGGCAAGGAAGACACAGCGAAAACCUUUGCUAGUUAAAAUCCCCCUUCCUGAAAUUAAAGUUAUUAAUGAAGAAUGAGGAAACAUAAAGUUGAGUGCUUUAACUAUUACAAAUGGAUGGAGAGGGUUGAAGGUGUGUUUUUUUUUUUUUUUUUUUUUUUUUUUUUUGUG